rnacentral:lncRNA from 1 species
GUAGAGUAAUGGAUAUCAAGAUUUUUCGGUUCAAAUCAAAACAGAUAACGAAUCGAAUCAAAAUUUAUGAAUAAUUUGUCCAGCUACAUUCGUAAAUAGUAAAAACAACGUAAAGAAGAACCAUGCAUGUGAUUUUAUAUUUAAAAAACAUAAAAUACAUAGUGUGAACAUAUUUAUGUUGAGUUUGGGUGAAAUGUUCUGUACAUGUGACAUGUAUCCAUUUUAGUGUGAACACAUUUAUUACAAUGCUUCCCCACGUGACAUGUGUCCAGUUUAGUGUGAACGUAUUUAAUACAAUGAUUCUCCUUUUAUAUAUAAGGGAUAAGGGAUACUCUUUCUAUGAAUAAUAUUCCCUACGUCUUAGAAUCUCGUAUAAGUCAUUCGACGAAUCCUAUUAUGCCAUGUGACAUAUUUAAAAAAAAUAAAAAAUAAAAACCAGCUAACGUAAAAUCGCACAAUUAGAAAGUAUCGAAACAAAAAUUUAAAAUAAAAAUUAUCUAAGCAAAAAAAAACUCUAACGAAUUCUUAAACUGCAAAAACUUAAUCCCUAGAAUUUCUCAAGUCACUACCAUCAAGUUCAAACUUGAAUCGUGCCAUUACUUUGCUUCUUUUCUUUGCUCUCCCUCUCUCUCUUCUCUCAUAGUUGUCUUCUUGACCAUUUGUUUUUGGUUUUGAGUGUAGCAACAAAAGUCGAAACAUGUUCUGUUCUCUUCUUCUCGACUUGGUAUUUUAAUUUUUGCAUAUUAACCUUGAAAAUGCCAAUUGAGUUUCUUCCUAUAUUAGAAUUUAAUUCUUCAAAAACGAAUAGAAAAUGAAAAUGUUGUCAACAAAAGAGUUAAUAAUAAUAACUGACUUUGAGGUAGUUUAUUACCCUUUUCUCUUUUUCUUUG